rnacentral:rRNA from 1 species
GAUGAACGCUAGCGACAGGCUUAACACAUGCAAGUCGAGGGGCAGCAUAAAAGUAGCAAUACUUUGGUGGCGACCGGCGCACGGGUGAGUAACGCGUAUGCAACCUACCUAUCAGAGGGGGAUAACCCGGCGAAAGUCGGACUAAUACCGCAUAAAACAGGGGCACCGCAUGGUGAUAUUUGUUAAAAAUUUAUUGCUGAUAGAUGGGCAUGCGUUCCAUUAGGUAGUUGGAGAGGUAACGGCUCACCAAGCCAACGAUGGAUAGGGGAACUGAGAGGUUGGUCCCCCACACUGGUACUGAGACACGGACCAGACUCCUACGGGAGGCAGCAGUGAGGAAUAUUGGUCAAUGGGCGAGAGCCUGAACCAGCCAAGUCGCGUGAAGGAAGAAGGAUCUAUGGUUCGUAAACUUCUUUUGCAGGGGAAUAAAGUGCAGGACGUGUCCUGUUUUGUAUGUACCCUGAGAAUAAGGAUCGGCUAACUCCGUGCCAGCAGCCGAC